rnacentral:rRNA from 1 species
CUUUCGCUGAAGGAGGGGCGUUGCGUCUGAUUAGCUAGUUGGAGGGGUAACGGGCCCACCAAGCGACGAUCAGUAGCCGGUCUGAGAGGAUGAACGGCCACAUUGGGACUGAGACACGGCCCAGACUCCUACGGGAGGCAGCAGUGGGGAAUCUUCCGCAAUGGACGAAAGUCUGACGGAGCAACGCCGCGUGAACGAUGACGGCCUUCGGGUUGUAAAGUUCUGUUAUACGGGACGAAUGGUACGACGGUCAAUACCCGUCGUAAGUGACGGUACCGUAAGAGAAAGCCACGGCUAACUACGUG